GGUGCAGUCUGCUGACUUUAAAUGCUUCCUGGAAAGACUUUGUGAAAAAUGUGCAGUCAAGCAGCUGGAUAGCUGGACACAACUGUUUCCCUGCUCUGGAAACAGACCCAAAGGAAUCAG